rnacentral:rRNA from 1 species
AUUGAACGCUGGCGGCAGGCUUAACACAUGCAAGUCGAACGAGUGGCGGACGGGUGAGUAAUGUCUGGGAAACUGGCUGAUGGAGGGGGAUAACUACUGGAAACGGUAGCUAAUACCGCAUACCAUCGGAUGAGCCCAGAGGGGAGUAGGUAGUUGGUGGGGUAACGGCUCACCUAGGCGACGAUCCCUAGCUGGUCUGAGAGGAGGCCCAGCCACACUGGAACUGAGACACGGUCCAGACUCCUACGGGAGGCAGCAGUGGGGAAUAUUGCGCAAGGGGCGCAAGCCUGAUGCAGCCAUGCCGCGUGUAUGAAGAAGGCCUUCGGGUUGUAAAGUUCUUUCAGCGAUGAGGCGUUAAUCGCAGAAGAAGCACCGGCUAACUCCGUGCCAGCAGCCGCGGUAAUAC